CAAUAGCGUAUAUUUAAGUUGUUGCAGUUAAAAAGCUCGUAGUUGGAUUUCUGGUGGGAGCGAUCGGUCUGGCGCUUAGCGCGAGUACUUGCAUCGUCUCCGGCCAUCCUUGGGGAGAGUCUGUCUGGCAUUAGGUUGUCGGGCAGAGGAUCCUCAUCGUUUACUGUGAAAAAAUUAGAGUGUUCAAAGCAGGCUUAUGCCGUUGAAUAUAUUAGCAUGGAAUAAUAAGAUAGGACUUUGGUACUAUUUUGUUGGUUUGCGCACCAAAGUAAUGAUUAAUAGGGACAGUUGGGGGUAUUCGUAUUCCGUUGUCAGAGGUGAAAUUCUUGGAUUUACGGAAGACGGACUACUGCGAAAGCAUUUACCAAGGAUGUUUNCAUUA
rnacentral:rRNA from 1 species